rnacentral:tRNA from 1 species
AGAAGCUUAAGUUAUGCAAACUAGGGACCUUCAAAGCCCCCAAAAAAGACCCCCUUUAGUUUCUG